GAUGAAGAACGUAGCAAAGUGCGAUAACUAGUGUGAAUUGCAUAUUCAGUGAAUCAUCGAGUCUUUGAACGCAACUUGCGCUCAAUGGUAUUCCAUUGAGCACGCCUGUUUCAGUAUCAAAAACACCCCACAUUCAUAAUUUUGUUGUGAAUGGAAAUGAGAGUUUCGGCUUUAUUGCUGAAUUCUUUAAAAUUAUUAGGCCUGAACUAUUGUUCUUUCUGCCUGAACAUUUUUUUAAUAUAAAGGAAUGCUCUAGUAAAAAGAGUAUCUCUGGGGCCUCCCAAAUAAAUCAUUCUUAAAUUUGAUCUGAAAUCAGGCGGGAUUACCCGCUGAACUUAAGCAUAUCAAUAAGCGGAGGA
rnacentral:misc_RNA from 1 species